UACGAAGGGGGCUAGCGUUGUUCGGAAUUACUGGGCGUAAAGGGCGCGUAGGCGGUGUGUCAAGUCAGGCGUGAAAGCCCCGGGCUCAACCUGGGAACCGCGCUUGAGACUGGCACGCUCGAGUUCGGGAGAGGAUGGUGGAAUUCCCGAGUGUAGAGGUGAAAUUCGUGAGAUAAUCGGGAGGAACACCGGUGGCGAAGGCGGCUCUCUGGACCACUACUGACGCUGAGG
rnacentral:rRNA from 1 species